UAAGCUGCCAGAUUUCUCAAGAGACUUAUCCGGCCGGCUACAGACCCUUUAGACCCAAUAAUAACGGUUACCACUCGAGCCGCCGGUGUUACCGCGGCGGCUGGCACCGGUCUUGCCCGGCCCUUGCUAUGAAAUGCUUUUUAGGCAUCUCGACAGCCAGAUUUGUAACCUGGCACUCGAGGUUCCCUUAUCGCUGUUGCCAGCAUUGUAAAGUUUUCGCGCCUGCUGCACCCCGUAGGGCCUGGAUUCGUGUCUCAGAAUCCAUCUCCGGGCUCUUGCUCUCACAACCCGUACCCGUCGUAGGCUAGUAGGUACGCUACACCCACUACUACCUGAUAGGCCGCAGACCCAUCCUUAGGCGCCGGAGCUUUAAAUCUCGAUGCAUUCCAGCAAUCGAGACCUAUCGGGUAUUAUACCCAGUUUCCCGGGUUUAUCCCCGUCCUA
rnacentral:rRNA from 1 species